UACGUAGGGUGCAAGCGUUGUCCGGAAUUAUUGGGCGUAAAGAGCUCGUAGGCGGUUUGGUAAGUCGGGUGUGAAAUCUCCACGCUCAACGUGGAGGGGCCACUCGAUACUGCCAUGACUCGAGUCCGGUAGAGGAGUGUGGAAUUCCCGGUGUAGCGGUGAAAUGCGCAGAUAUCAGGAGGAACACCGGUGGCGAAGGCGGUGGUCUGGGCCGGAACUGACGCUGAGGAGCGAAAGCGUGGGGAGCAACAGG
rnacentral:rRNA from 1 species